rnacentral:rRNA from 1 species
GACGAACGCUGGCGGCGUGCCUAAUACAUGCAAGUUGAGCGAUGAAGAUUGGUGCUUGCACCAAUUUGAAGAGCAGCGAACGGGUGAGUAACGCGUGGGGAAUCUGCCUUUGAGCGGGGGACAACAUUUGGAAACGAAUGCUAAUACCGCAUAAUAACUUUAAACAUAAGUUUUAAGUUUGAAAGAUGCAAUUGCAUCACUCAAAGACGAUCCCGCGUUGUAUUAGCUAGUUGGUGAGGUAAAGGCUCACCAAGGCGAUGAUACAUAGCCGACCUGAGAGGGUGAUCGGCCACAUUGGGACUGAGACACGGCCCAAACUCCUACGGGAGGCAGCAGUAGGGAAUCUUCGGCAAUGGACGAAAGUCUGACCGAGCAACGCCGCGUGAGUGAAGAAGGUUUUCGGAUCGUAAAACUCUGUUGGUAGAGAAGAACGUUGGUGAGAGUGGAAAGCUCAUCAAGUGACGGUAACUACCCAGAAAGGGACGGCUAACUACGUG